rnacentral:rRNA from 1 species
GACGAACGCUGGCGGCGUGCUUAACACAUGCAAGUCGAACGGAAAGGCCCUGCUUUUGUGGGGUGCUCGAGUGGCGAACGGGUGAGUAACACGUGAGUAACCUGCCCUUGACUUUGGGAUAACUUCAGGAAACUGGGGCUAAUACCGGAUAGGAGCUCCUGCUGCAUGGUGGGGGAUGGAAAGUUUCGGCGGUUGGGGAUAGACUCGCGGCUUAUCAGCUUGUUGGUGGGGUAGGGGAUUACAAAGGCUUUGAAGGGUAGCCGGCCUGGGAGGGUGACCGGCCACAUUGGGACUGAGAUACGGCCCAGUCGCCUACGGGAGGCAGCAGUGGGGAGUAUUGCGCAGUGGGCGGAAGCCUGAUGCAGCAACGCCGCGUGCGGGAUGACGGCCUUCGGGUUGUAAACCGCUUUCGCCUGUGACGAAGCGUGAGUGACGGUAAUGGGUAAAGAAGCAACGGCUAACUACGUG